rnacentral:snRNA from 8 species
AUACUUACCUGGCAAGGGAGAUACCGUGAUCAAGAAGGUGGUUCACCCAGGGCGAGGCUCAGCCAUUGCACUCCGGCUGUGCUGACCCCUGCGAAUUUCCCAAAUGUGGAAAUCUCGAUUGCAUAAUUUAUGGUAGUGGGGGACUGCGUUCGCGCUCGCCCCUG